UUGUUAUGAUGAGAUUCCACUUAUGGUCCGUGUUUCUGAAACACAUGAUUUUGUGGAAGUUCUGAUUUA
ensembl:snoRNA SNORD18 Small nucleolar RNA SNORD18